CACGUAGGGGGCGAGCGUUGUCCGGAUUUAUUGGGCGUAAAGAGCUCGUAGGCGGCUCAGUAAGUCAGGUGUAAAAACUCCAGGCUCAACCUGGAGACGCCACCUGAUACUGCUGUGGCUAGAGUCCGGUAGGGGAGCAUGGAAUUCCUGGUGUAGCGGUGAAAUGCGCAGAUAUCAGGAGGAACACCAGUGGCGAAGGCGGUGCUCUGGGCCGGAACUGACGCUGAGGAGCGAAAGCCAGGGGAGCGAACGGG
rnacentral:rRNA from 1 species